rnacentral:rRNA from 1 species
CCCUUAGAUGUCCUGGGCUGCACGCGCGCUACACUGACGAUGGCAACGAGUUUUUCCUUCGCCGAAAGGUGUGGGUAAUCUUUUGAAACAUCGUCGUGCUGGGGAUAGAUCAUUGCAAUUUUUGAUCUUGAACGAGGAAUUCCUAGUAAGCGCGAGUCAUCAGCUCGCGUUGAUUACGUCCCUGCCCUUUGUACACACCGCCCGUCGCUACUACCGAUUGAAUGGUUUAGUGAGGACUCCUGAUUGGCGCCGCCGCCCCGGCAACGGAGCAGCGGACUGCCGAAAAGUUGUUCAAACUUGAUCAUUUAGAGGAAGUAAAAGUCGUAACA